ACGGGAGGCAGCAGUGGGGAAUAUUGCACAAUGGGCGAAAGCCUGAUGCAGCGACGCCGCGUGAGUGAAGAAGUAUCUCGGUAUGUAAAGCUCUAUCAGCAGGGAAGAAAAUGACGGUACCUGACUAAGAAGCCCCGGCUAACUACGUGCCAGCAGCCGCGGUAAUACGUAGGGGGCAAGCGUUAUCCGGAUUUACUGGGUGUAAAGGGAGCGUAGACGGCAUGGCAAGUCUGAUGUGAAAACCCGGGGCUCAACCCCGGGACUGCAUUGGAAACUGUCAAGCUAGAGUGCAGGAGGGGUAAGCGGAAUUCCUAGUGUAGCGGUGAAAUGCGUAGAUAUUAGGAGGAACACCGGUGGCGAAGGCGGCUUACUGGACUGUAACUGACGUUGAGGCUCGAAAGCGUGGGGAGCAAACAGGAUUAGAUACCCUGGUA
rnacentral:rRNA from 1 species